UACGAAGGGGGCGAGCGUUGUUCGGAGUUACUGGGCGUAAAGGGCGCGUAGGCGGCGAUCCAAGUUAGGCGUGAAAGCCCCGGGCUCAACCUGGGAAUAGCGCUUAAGACUGGGUUGCUCGAGUGCGGGAGAGGUGAGUGGAAUUCCCAGUGUAGAGGUGAAAUUCGUAGAUAUUGGGAAGAACACCAGUGGCGAAGGCGGCCCACUGGCCCGCAACUGACGCUGAGGCGCGAAAGCGUGGGGAGCAAACAGG
rnacentral:rRNA from 1 species